rnacentral:rRNA from 1 species
ACGUAAUAGAUACCCAGGUAGUCCACGCCCUAAACGAUGUCUACUAGUUGUUGGUGGAGUAAAAUCCAUGAGUAAACGCAGCUAAACGCGUGAAGUAGACCGCCUGGGGAGUACGGUCGCAAGAUUAAAACUCAAAGGAAUUGACGGGGGCCCGCACAAGCGGUGGAUUAUGUGGAUUAAAUUCGAUGCAACGCGAAAAACCUUACCUGGCCUUGACAUGCCACUAACGAAGCAGAGAUGCAUUAGGUGCCCGUAAGGGAAAGUGGACACAGGUGCUGCAUGGCUGUCGUCAGCUCGUGUCAUGAGAUGUUGGGUUAAGUCCCGCAACGAGCGCAACCCUUGCCAUUAAUUGCCAUCAUUUAGUUGGGCACUUUAAUGGGACUGCCGGUGACAAACCGGAGGAAGGUGGGGAUGACGUCAAGUCCUCAUGGCCCUUAUGGCCAGGGCUUCACACGUAAUACAAUGGUCGGUACAGAGAGUUGCCAACCCGCGAGGGGAGCUAAUCUCAGAAAGCCGAUCGUAGUCCGGAUUGUUCUCU